GGCGUUCCAUCUGGAAGGAAUCUGGAGACAGGUGCUGCAUGGCUGUCGUCAGCUCGUGUCGUGAGAUGUUGGGUUAAGUCCCGCAACGAGCGCAACCCUGCCUUUAGUUGCCAGCAGUUCGGCUGGGCACUCUAAAGGGACUGCCGGUGUUAAACCGGAGGAAGUGGGGAUGACGUCAAGUCCUCAUGGCCUUUAUGACCAGGGCUACACACGUACUACAAUGGCCGAUACAAAGGGCAGCGACACUGCGAGGUGAAGCCAAUCCCGUAAAAUCGGUCUCAGUCCGGAUUGGAGUCUGCAACUCGACUCCAUGAAGUUGGAAUCGCUAGUAAUCGUGGAUCAGCAUGCCACGGUGAAUACGUUCCCGGGCCUU
rnacentral:rRNA from 1 species